rnacentral:rRNA from 1 species
GUCGGCGAAGUUACUUUGAAAAAAUUAGAGUGUUCAAAGCAGGCUUACGCCGUUGAAUAUAUUAGCAUGGAAUAAUAAGAUAGGACCUCGGGACUAUUUUGUUGGUUUGCGCCCCGUGGUAAUGAUUAAUAGGGACAGUUGGGGGUAUUCGUAUUGUGCUGUCAGAGGUGAAAUUCUUGGAUUAGCGCAAGACGAACUACUGCGAAAGCAUUUACCAAGGAUGUUUUCAUUAAUCAAGAACGAAAGUUGGGGGAUCGAAGAUGAUUAGAUACCAUCGUAGUCUCAACCAUAAACUAUGCCGACUCGGGAUUGGCGGUCGUUACUAAUGACUCCGUCAGCACCGUAAGGGAAAUCAAAGUCUUUGGGUUCCGGGGGGAGUAUGGUCGCAAGGCUGAAACUUAAAGGAAUUGACGGAAGGGCACCACCAG